AACUUUUAUAAAACUAACAGCCAUUGAAUUUUGGUGUGAUAUUAAAGGGAAUAACCACAUUUAUCUGGAAAAGCUAUUAAAAUAUUUCUUCCUCUUGAGUUCCCACUGUGGCUCAGUGGGAUCAUGGCAUCUCUGGAGCAGUGGGACACAGGUUCAAUUCCCAGCUCGGCACAGUAGGUUAAGGAUCCAGCAUUGCCCCAGCUAUAGCAUAGGUCACAACUGCAGCUCGGAUUUGAUCCUUGGCCCAAAAACUCCGUAUGAUGUGAGGUGGCCAAAAAAGAAAAAAAAAAUUUAAUUUUUCUCUCUUUUCCAACUAUAUAUACGUAUAUAUAUACAUAUAUAUACGUAUAUAUAUGUAUAUAUAUACAUUAAAAAUUCCACUCUUCUGGAGUUCCCAUUGUGGCGCAGUGGUUAACAAAUCCGACUAGGAACCAUGAAGUUGCAGGUUCGAUCCCUGGCCUUGCUCAGUUGGUUAAGAAUCCGGCGUUGCUGUGAGCUGUGGUGUAGUUGGCAGAUUUGGUUGGGAUCUGGCAUUGCUGCGCCUGUGGCAUGGGCAACAGCUCUGAUUAGACCCCUAGCCUGGGAACCUCCAUAUGCCUCAGGUGUGGCCCUAGAAAAAGACAAAAAAAAAAAAAUCCACUCAUUAAUCUUUCUUUUUUUGAAAGACAUAUUUUUCAUAAAAUAUGUGGCUCAUGAUCAUAUUUAUGAAAUGAACUUAGAGAUUUUUUAAAUUCUUGAGUUUUAUUUAUUUAUUUUUAGUUUUUAAAAUUACAGUUGAUGUACAAUGUUAUGUCAAUUUCUGCUGUAUAGCAAAGUGACCCAGUCAUACAUAUAUAUUUUUUUCUUUUUCUCAUCUCAUAUUAUCUUCCAUCAUGUUCUAUCACAAGGAAUUGGAUAUAGUUCCUUGUGCUAUACAGUAGGAAAAAAAUUCCUCAGUUUUCAUUUCUGAUACAGUAAAUAUCGAUAGACACAAUGUCAGUAGACAAAGUCCACACAUUUAAACAAGAGCUCUUUGGGUCCGUAAUAAUUUUUCAGAGUGUAAAGGGGUUCUGAGACCAAAAAGCUUCAGCACUGAUGCAAUAGUAUAGGAUAGCAGUUCCAGUGGCGGCAGAGGAAGGGAGGAGAGGACCUACGGAGACUGCUGGAUUUUCAGUCUCCCCACUCAGCCACCGCACAUCUUUAGCCCAGCAAUCAAGGCUUGGGAACAAGAGCUAUAAACUAUAUUCCAGGCGUUCCCAUCAUGGCACAGUGGAAACGAAUCCAACGAGGAACCAUAAGGUUGCAGGUUUGAUCCCUGGUCUUGCUCAGUUGGUUAAGGAUCCAGUGUUGCCGUGAGCUGUGGUGUAGGUUGCAGACGUGGCUCGGAUCUGGCAUUGCUGUGGCUCUGGCAUAGGCCGGCGGCUACAGCUCCGAUUAGAUCCCUAGCCUGGGAACCUCCAUAUGCCACGGGUGCAGCCGUAAAAGGACAAAAGACAAAAAUUUUUUUAAUUUUAAAAAUUUAAAAAUAAAUAAACUGUGUUCCAAGUAUUGCUGGUGUAAGUCUAUGAAAGGGAAGGGCACUUCUUUACCUCCUUCUUCCUGUCUUGUCUCCAGAUGAGACUUGGGUGUUGCACUGCGUAAAGAGAAGACCAGGAAAGGGCAUCAAAUGAGAGUAAGGCACCUUCACAGCCAUGAAGGAAGGUAUUUAGAAACACCAAAGCUGGUUGGUAAAGUCAAGCUGCCAGGGCCACAGCUGGUCCACUUGGGCUCAAGAGCAUGGCGAGGGAGGAGCCAGGGAUAUUCUCUAAAGCAGCAAAACUCGAAUUCCCUUCCUCCUGCUCUGGCCCAUUUCUUAAAAGUGACCUAAACCCUUCAGUGGCCUUUAAGAACCAACAGUUCUUCUAGGCCACAGUCCCACAUGGUUGAUUAGAAUAGGUCAACAUGAAAAGAAACCAGGCUUAAAGAGAAAAAAAAAUGAUGUAUGGAGUUCCCAUUGUGGCAGAGCAGAAACGAAUCCGACUAGGAACCACGAUCCCUGGCCUCACUCAGUAGGUUAAGGAUCCAGCGUUGCCGUGUGAGCUGUGGUGUAGGUCGCAGACAUGGCUCGGAUUUGGCAUUGCUGUGGCUGUGCUGUAGGCCAGUAGCUACAUCUCUGAUUAGACCCACAUACCUCCAUGUGCCACAGGUAUGGCCCUAAAAAAAAAAAAGGAAAAAAAGAAAAAGAGAGUAAAAUGUAAACCAACAUAGUAAUAACUGCUCCUUCGCCCAUACCUCCCCUUCCACUUCCACAGUCCCCUGAACUUCUCCCUCUCCCUCCUGCCAUCCAUCCCUUCCCGGCCUGAGCCCUUCCUUCCUUAGGCUAUUACAGAAGCAUUAGGGAUAUAGUCACUAGGAUAGGGAUUUUAGGGGUAAGGCCUUUCAUCAUAAUUUGAGUCUCCUCUGUGCCAUUUACCAGCUGUGUGAUCCAGCAGGUCAUGCUCCUUCUCUGGACUCUCAGUUUCUGCAUCUUUCAGAUGAGAUGAUCUUCCAGCUCUGUCAUCCUUUAGUUAUUAAUGAACAGGAUAUAUGUCCAGGCUGGAAACUAAGGACUCUGGAAUAAACAUAUUGUCAUUGAAAAAAGCAGAGGGGAGUUCCUGUUGUGGCUCAGCGUGUUAAGAAUCCGACUAGUAUCCGUGAGGCUACAGGUUCAAUCACUGGCCUUGCUCAAUGGGUUAAGGAUCAGGUGUUGCCUCGAGCUUCGGUAUAGGCCACAGAUGCGGCUUGGAUCUGGCAUAGCGGUGGCUGUGAUGUAGGCCUGCAGAUGUAGCUCCAGUUUGACCCCCUAGCCUGGGAACUUCCAUAUGCCUCAGGUACAGCC
rnacentral:lncRNA from 1 species